ACCCAGACUCCUACGGGAGGCAGCAGUGGGGGAUAUUGCACAAUGGGGGGAACCCUGAUGCAGCGACGCCGCGUGGGUGAAGGAGCGUUUCGGCGCGUAAAGCCCUCUCGGCAGGGAAGAAGGAGGACGGUACCUGACUAAGAAGCCCCGGCUAACUACGUGCCAGCAGCCGCGGGAAUACGUAGGGGGCAAGCGUUAUCCGGAUUUACUGGGUGUAAAGGGGGCGCAGACGGCAGCGCAAGCCAGGAGUGAGAGCCCGGGGCCCAACCCCGGGACUGCUCUUGGAACUGCGCGGCUGGAGUGCAGGAGGGGCAGGCGGAAUUCCUGGUGUAGCGGUGAAAUGCGUAGAUAUCAGGAGGAACACCGGUGGCGAAGGCGGCCUGCUGGACUGCGACUGACGUUGAGGCCCGAAAGCGUGGGGAGCAAACAGGAUUAGAUACCCGUGUAAA
rnacentral:rRNA from 1 species